UACGUAGGGGGCAAGCGUUAUCCGGAAUUAUUGGGCGUAAAGAGCUCGUAGGCGGUUUGUCGCGUCUGCCGUGAAAGUCCGGGGCUCAACUCCGGAUCUGCGGUGGGUACGGGCAGACUAGAGUGCGGUAGGGGAGAUUGGAAUUCCUGGUGUAGCGGUGGAAUGCGCAGAUAUCAGGAGGAACACCGGUGGCGAAGGCGGGUCUCUGGGCCGAUACUGACGCUGAGGUGCGAAAGCGUGGGGAGCAAACAGG
rnacentral:rRNA from 1 species